UACGUAGGGGGCAAGCGUUGUCCGGAUUUAUUGGGCGUAAAGAGCGUGUAGGCGGUUUGGUAGGUCCGUUGUGAAAACUCGAGGCUCAACCUCGAGACGCCGAUGGAAACCCCCGAACUAGAGUCCGGAAGAGGAGAGUGGAAUUCCCGGUGUAGCGGUGAAAUGCGCAGAUAUCGGGAAGAACACCCGUGGCUAAGGCGGCUCUCUAGUACGGUACUGACGCUGAGACGCGAAAGCGUGGGGAGCGAACAGG
rnacentral:rRNA from 1 species